AAUGGAGAUGGACGGCAUUUACACUGUGCUGCAGAAUCCCUCGGAGGAUGUCUACUCCACAGUAAACCAACCCCAGGGCAGGAGAGCAGGAGCACAACAGGGGACCCCACCCCGCCUGUGAGUGCAGCUGGCAAAGCCUCUUCAUACAGACAGCCUGCACUGGUCCUCCUCAUCCUGUGCUGUCUCUUACUGGCUGCCAUCAUCUCCAUCGCUGUCUAUCAUUUCAAAACAUCAAUCUUGGAUAAAUACUGUCCUCUCAAAGUUCUUCAAAGGGUCAUUAAAAUAGGUGAAAUCACCCUUUAACCUGCUGAUCCCCAACACUCUGAACAGCCGAACCACGUCUGUGUGCCCUGCGCCUGUCAGUUUGUACAGCACCCUCCAUUCUGUGGUUUCUUUGUCCCCCAGGGACAGAUGAGCCCUCCAUUUAGACUCCACCAUCCCUCUCAGCUCACAGCAAUGGGCUAUCUUUAUACACAGUUUGUACAUUUCCCUACUACCGUAUUCUUUUGAAUUUAAGACAUAGCCCAGAUAUCCCACCUCCAAUUCAAGGAAAAAAAAUAAAUCUGCAUUUACAAACAUACACAUAUCAAUUACACAUAUGGAGGCAGUUUGCGGCCGUCUGCCAUCACACCGAGCACAACAGUUAUGCGCUGCUUCUCAUCUCCAGUCGUGAUUUUUCACACGUUUUUCUCCCAAUUUGUGAACUGAUAUUGCUUGGAAUGUCAAAAAAUACGGGGGUCUGAUCAGCAUUUCUGAUCUGUCCAAGCUGGUACUGUUUGUUAAAAAUGAAAUUUUAAAAGCUUCUCAUGGAAUUCCUCAGGAAGCUAAUGACGUGUCUUUGAAAAUGGCUGCCUGUAUGGAUGAUUCGAGACUGGGUAGCAGUGCCAUAGCCCCGGAACCUCUGGGCGUGCAGAGUCAUAGCCCCGGUACCUUAGUUAAGAAUCUCAUAAAAUGCUUUCUUUUUAAGUUCUCAACACAGUUGUAUCAGGUUUGCAAGUUUUUGUGUGUGCGCUAAAGAGAGACAGUCUGCUGCCACGUUUGUAGCCUGCUUUAAAUUACUUUAUGAUUUCAGCUUCAGUGCCUUUAAAUAAUAGAACAGACAGAAAAAAAAUGUUGGUGUGCAGCGAAUCAGAAAGAAGUGAAGUAUGGAGAGGUGGGGCUGAGGUCGAGCGCGAAAGUGUGUGAGGGUCUGACGUGGUUGUCUGAAAGAAAGAAAAAAAGGAGAUUAGAUAAAAAUAAAUAAAUCGGUCUGAUUUGUAGUAUAGCCCACCCGGUUAUAAAUUCUAAUUUAUGUUUUAUUUCCCUGUAUAUCGCCCUUGUUCCGAACCCCUUGCUUUAGUGUAUAUCAGGGGCGGCGCCACGCUUGGGCCUGAGGAGCCUCGUGGGCCCACCCAGUUAUGGAGCGAUUGACAAUUAAAAACAUUUAAUGCCAAAACGUAUCAGACUGUAAUCCGCUGCGACGAGUUUAGCUCAUCCUUGUGGUUCAAAAAAUAUAUCCGUCCCACCCACCUCAGCACCGUUGUCAUUUGUUAUGAAAAGAUUGGUGAUUGGACGGCUGAGAUAUGAGAUCUUACGUCUUCGAUAUUUUAUAGUAUCGAAAUUACAGAGGGUCGGCAGCAUACAUACAGGAACUUUUCUUUCAUUGCAAGGCAUGCAAGCAACCAGCUUGUGCAGCUGCUGUUUAGUUAUUUUUUACAUUUGCAAUUAGCUAUCUAAGUACCUACACAGGGCAGCAGUGUGGAGUAGUGGUUAGGGCUUUGGACUCCUGACUGGAAGGUCGUGGGUUCAAUCCCAGGUAGGGGGCACUGCUGUUGUACAUUUGAACAAGUAAAAACCCAACUGUAUAAAUCGGUAAUUGUAUGUAAAAAAUGUGAUAAUGUAAAUCUUGUAACAAUUGUAAGUCACCCUGGAUAAGGGUGUAUGCUAAGAAAUAUAAUACAGAAUGUUUAGCCAACUUUGCAGUAAACCAUAGCUAUAUUUGUGUCUUAUGCAUUAGCAAUGUCCCGACAAAUUUUGUAAAAAGAAAACGAACCGACGAAUCAACAAAUAUGCUAGUAAUGUAAGUACCUUCAUUUAAUUUUAUUUCGAUUUUACAAUUGUGUAUGUAGGCCUACUUAUAACCAGUUUACAGCUGGUUACACAAUAUUUUGUUUUGAAGUGUUUAUUUUAUUAUAGUUUUUCAUUUUUGAAGUCACGCUAUGCAGUAGGGUAAUGUGAAAAAAAGCUUUUUAUGUUAUUUUUGUAAAUAGUGACUUUGUUUUCACAAUUUUGUUAGUUUCUGUUUGCACUUUGUCAAAUGAAACAGUUUUUGCAGUUAUUGUGUGUUUGUUUCUGGAUGUUGUAUGCUUAUGUGUUUUGUAUUUGUACUGUAUACGUGCAACUACUGUUAUAAACUGCAAAACAUUUUCGCCUUGCUUCACUCGGCACCAUACAUUUUCAGUCUUGGCUACGUUGUGCUGCUCAAACCCCGGGGAGAUAUUUGAUGUAUUCAAAGUGUUUUUGUAACGUAAACGCUUUCCUGUGACGUCAAACCUUUGGUACUUGCCCGUCCACCCGAAGUUGGGGCCCACCCAAAUUUCUAUUCCUAGCUACGCCCCUGGUGUAUAUAGUAUUUAUUUUUGUUGUCACGUCGUCUGUGAAGAACCAACUGUAUCGGUUAGCGCUCGAGGCGACCAGCAAAGUGAUAGCACCCCGGUUAGAGGAAGAAAAAAGAAAACUGCCGAGAUCCCUCUAUUCCAUCCUGCAUCUCUUCUGGACGGACUGUGCCUUUGAAUACACCUGAGACGGCUGCUAGUGAGUACAGAAGGAUUUUUUUUUUACUGGGAAGGAGGUAGUGGUCAGUAAACUGCCUGAUGGGAAUUUUCUUUUGUUUUGUUUUUUUUUACCCCACUACGCACCCAAGCACUGCUCGGGGCCCAACGUUUAUUUAUUUAUUGGUUCUUAAUGUGUUGUGUUAUUUAGUUAUCUGUCUACCCGGGUGUUAGUUAAUUUAUCUCCCCUACGGAGAUUAGUACUACUGGCCAGUGGUAUAGUUUAAAAUUGCAUGUUACCGUGUAGUUAUUUCAUUGUCUGUAUUCUAUACGUACUACUGUUAUUUUAUAAUAGGGGCUUCCUAUCAACCACGUCGUUAUUUCAGUGACAUAUAAUUGUAUUAUAAUUAUUAUAUAUUAAUAAUAUUAUCCCUGCAUUAUCUAUGCUGUACUUUAGUCCUGCAGUUGUAUGUGUCUCUACUGUUUACUUGGCCACCAAGUAACUCCAUUUGUGUGACAUGGCACUUACAAGUAUUAUAAUAAUGAGUUACAUUAUUUGAUUUUUAUUUAAAACCCCUAAACCUAUAGUAAACACGUUUGGUUUACUAAAAUGUGAUAUGUGUGGUCUCUUUAUUA